GAAAGUGAGGACGAUCUGGCUGCGACAUCUGUCACCCCAUUUAUGGCCAGGGUUGAUUCGGCUGACCUGGCUGGCUCGGCGGGUGUCCCCUUCCUCCCUCACUGCUCUGUGUGCAUCCUCCCGAAGCUGAGAGCUCGGUCGAAGAGGACGGCCUUCGCCGAAUAGAGACGGACUGGUCUUCGGUUGAGGGUAUAUGAGUAGCUGCGCUCCGCUGCUAGAACCUCCAAAAAAGAACAUUGUGAAACCCAAAGAGAUUGGCCUGCCUUAGGAGAGCUGAAACUAAAGACAGGAAGGCUAGAGAGAGUUGGCUUAGAGGAGCUUUGCCUCAGUGG
rnacentral:snRNA from 1 species